UACGUAGGGUGCAAGCGUUAAUCGGAAUUACUGGGCGUAAAGCGUGCGCAGGCGGUUUUGUAAGUCUGAUGUGAAAUCCCCGGGCUCAACCUGGGAAUUGCGUUGGAGACUGCAAGGCUAGAAUCUGGCAGAGGGGGGUAGAAUUCCACGUGUAGCAGUGAAAUGCGUAGAGAUGUGGAGGAAUACCGAUGGCGAAGGCAGCCCCCUGGGUCAAGAUUGACGCUCAUGCACGAAAGCGUGGGGAGCAAACAGG
rnacentral:rRNA from 1 species